ensembl:misc_RNA
UUAACUUGUUAAUCAUAAAUUGCUCUACAAAUAGUAUACUGGAAACAUCCGGAUGUGAGGUUAUAAUUAAAAAUGAAAGCAAAACAGCUUCCCUGAAAAGAAAGAAAACUCUUAAUUCAAACCUACCAGAUAGCUGAUUUAUGAAAGUGAAAAUGCUGGCAUGUAUAGAUAUUGGGAAGUCUUGGGAUCUGGAUUUUAUCACUGACCAUCUGG